rnacentral:misc_RNA from 1 species
UUUUUUUUUUCUUUUUAAAUUGAGUUAAGAUACUGCUAUAUAAACUUAGUUGGUUUUCCAUGUUAGUUAUGUGAGUUAGUAUAGGAGGGUAGAUUGUAACAGGCACUGCAUUUCGUUUUGCGAACAACAAAUCAUGCUUCGGCUAAAAAUAUGAAUAUGGUGAGGUUCUGGUAUCAUUAUAUUAACUGAGGAACUUACUAGCUUGCAAACCAAUUCUCUUGCAA